GGCAGAGACAAAAUGUAACUGAGUGUAUUGCUUCACAAAGACAUUGUGUAUGAGAGUCUCUUUUAUGUGUGGUGUGAUUGUGAGUAUAAUUGGGAACAGGUCUCUCAGAUUAGUCCUCAGGAAAAGGUGACGUGUCUGUGUGUAGUUUUGUGAGUUGUAGUCGUUGGCCAUGAUUGUAGUGUGCAAUGCAUUCUGAAAAAUGGAGUCAUGAGUUUACCAUGAUAUGACAGUACAUAUAAAUAUGUGAGCAUUGCAUCCACCCAUUAUCCCAUUCGUUUGACAUAUAGGAUCUGAUACGUUUUUAAAUACACAUCAGUAUAUUUUAUCACAAUGUGGAUGUGAAUCAUUCAUUUGUAUCGUUCUUUCUCCCUCUCUGUUCUUCUCUGUCUCUACCACAAAAUGACAGAAGAGACAACAACAGGUAAAGUUUCACUGACAGUGUGUAUGUAUAAACGUGUGAACAUUAACUCCACCCAUUAUCCCAUUCCUUCAACUUAUGAGAUCUGAUACAUUUUUAAAAGGAACCCUGACACUGAAGACUUGUUGGCCUUAACACGCAGUAAUUGCCCUCUCCUACUAAAAUAAGUUGUUAGAAGCACAUGCAAUAUGUUAAUUACUUUAAAAAUCCUUUAUAUUUAAUACAUAUUUUAACCUGCCGAGGCCACCAUUACAUGACAUGCGCAGUGCGCUCUGAGUCCAUGACGUAAAAUGUUUGAGCACUCAAAAGAAUUAGCUACUAGCCCCAGCAACAUGAAAAUAAUGCCACACUGUGCUGCUUUUGGCUGUAAUUUUCUAGGUCUUGUGUGCUGUGAUAAAGGGAAUAUCUGUAAAUAUAAUCAAACCCGGGCACACGGUGGCACACGGUGGUUAGCACGUUCGCCUCACACCUCCAGGGUUGGGGGUUCGAUUCCCACCAUGGCCCUGUGUGUGCGGAGUUUGCAUGUUCUCCCCGUGCUGCGGGGGUUCCUCCGGGUAUUCCUGUUUCCUGCCCCAGUCCCAAAACAUGCAUGGUAGGCUGAUUGUCCAAAAGUCUCCGUGGUGUAUGAAUGGGUGCGUGAGUAUGUAUGUGAUUGUGCCCUGCAAUGGAUUGGCAACCUGUCCAGGGUGUACCCCACCUUGUGCCCAAUGCUCC
ensembl:lncRNA